UACGGGGGAGCAAGCGUUGUUCGGAUUUACUGGGCGUAAAGGGCGCGUAGGCGGCCACCGCAAGUCAAUUGUGAAAUCUCCGGGCUCAACCCGGAAAGGUCGACUGAUACUGCGGGGCUAGAGUGCAGAAGGGCAACUGGAAUUCUCGGUGUAGCGGUGAAAUGCGUAGAUAUCUGGAGGAACACCGGUGGCGAAGCGGCAUCCUGGACCGGCAUUGACGCUGAGGCGCGAAAGCCAGGGGAGCAAACGGG
rnacentral:rRNA from 1 species